GGACCUGCGAGGGGGACAGGAAGUGCACGUGCACGUCGAUGCCGCCCGCGGUGAGGAUGCGUCCCUCGCCGCUGAUGACGUCGGUCGACGGCCCGAUGCGCAGGUCCGGGUGCACGCCGUCCGCCACGUCGGGGUUGCCGGCGCGGCCCAGGGCCACGAUGCGCCCGUCGCGGAUGCCGACGUCGGCCUUGACGACACCCCACCAGUCGAGGACCAGCGCGUUGGUGAUCACCGUGUCGGGGGCGCCCUCGGCGCGGGUCGUCG
rnacentral:sRNA from 1 species